CCAGAAGAGCAUCUUCUGGACCUGAGUUCUUUCCUGUAAGGGGAUGCUGUAUAGCUAAGUGAUCUAGUUCAUCAGUUAGGUUUAUUUUAUCGUACAAACUCUUUGCUGCCAUAAUGAGGCUUGUCAUUCUUGAAGACUAUGAUCAGGCAAGUGAAUGGGCAGCCAAAUACAUCUGCAAUCGUAUUAUCCAAUUCAAGCCCACCCAAGGAAGGUACUUCACACUUGGCCUACCGACAGGGAGUACACCUUUGGGAUGCUACAAAAAGCUGAUAGAAUAUCACAAGAAUGGAGAUCUCUCUUUCAAAUACGUGAAGACUUUCAACAUGGAUGAAUACGUAGGACUUCCCAGAAAUCAUCCAGAGAGUUAUCAUUCGUAUAUGUGGAAUAACUUCUUUAAACAUAUUGACAUAGAUCCAAAUAAUGCUCAUAUCCUUGAUGGGAAUGCUCCAGACUUACAGGUGGAAUGUGAUGCAUUUGAAAAGAAAAUUGAAGAAGCAGGAGGGAUUGAUCUGUUUGUUGGAGGCAUUGGUCCAGAUGGCCACAUUGCAUUCAAUGAACCCGGAUCGAGUUUGUCUUCAAGAACAAGAUUAAAGACUUUAGCAAUGGACACCAUUUUGGCAAAUGCUAAAUACUUUGAUGGAGACUUAUCUAAAGUACCAACUAUGGCGCUAACGGUUGGUGUGGGUACAGUGAUGGAUGCUAGAGAAGUGAUGAUUCUUAUAACAGGUGCACAUAAAGCCUUUGCAUUAUACAAAGCUAUUGAAGAAGGUGUCAAUCAUAUGUGGACAGUUUCUGCUUUCCAGCAGCACCCUCGUACUAUCUUUGUGUGUGAUGAAGAUGCUACUUUAGAACUAAGAGUUAAAACUGUGAAGUACUUUAAAGAUGGAGAAAUCAGUAUUAGUAAAACCUGGGAUUAUUUCUGAAUCUUGAUCUCCAGGUUGGAUGACUUAGUUCUUAGGAAGCUGGAUGGUUCUUGAUGACUGCUAAUUCUGGUAGCUAGUUACUACAGCUUUUUACCAUUUAAGGAAAAUCUCAAGGUUUAAUGCAUGUGCACAAUAAACUCGUGGACCCCCUGUACAGCAUGAAAGAAAACUGAAAGAAGAAUUGAAGAAGAACUGCAUGUGGGUCAACAGCAACAGUUUUAGGUAGCAGAUGAGUUCACUGCUAUGCAAUAUACUGAAAACUGUUUAAAAUGGGAAAUCCUAGGUACUGUAUUUUUUUUAAAAGGUCCAAUGUAUGUACAUUCACAUUCCAUCUCUAUUUGGUGUUGUGCAUUUUGCUUGGAUAUUUAUAACUCUGGCUGUUACAGUAACUAAAUGGAACAGAACAAACCUGUGGGAGACUGCAUGUUAUGUAGGGGUGGAGGGGGGUGGGACAGAGCACUUAUUUUAGCACAGCAAUGCAUUGCAUCUGCCUGUUAGAGGAAGUGAUAGGUUAUUUCCAAUAAUCUCUAAUUGUGGCCUCCAUUAGUGUAACUACACUUUGCAUUUGUAUUCCUAGGCAGAAUGGUUUUGGCCUUUGUUAAAUACUAUGGACUUGUAAUAGCUGUGCAAUUUCUACUAUGAAAUGUUCUGUUUACAUAAUGCACACUGAGCUUUUGCACUUGAUUGCCUUAAAUUUAUCUUAUACAAACAGUUUUUGGGCAUCUCGAGUCCUGCUGUAUAAUUCAGGCAAAUAAAAAUACAAAAAACAGUGCCUAAAAAUGCACCCAAUUCUUAAAGUGUUAUAAAUUAUUCUGGUUACUUACAUUAAAUGUCUGCCCUAGCACUUUUUCCUCUCGUGUAUUUCAAAUUACUUUAGGGUUUUUAUAUUUUUAGUAAUUGUGCUUUAUAUAGAAGGAAAAAUCUAAGUGUUCCUUUCUGUAUAUACCUGUUUAAUUGUAUUGGAUGGUGUCAUUAAAUGCCUAGAAUGAGGUUAACUUAUAGGAACGUGAAGUCUACAAAUUCAAAUGAUAGUGUAUUAAAGUCUGCUGUUAACCACUCUGUAAUAAUUACCUCUUACUGUAUCGCUAUAAAUAUUGAACUGUCACAAGGAAUGUUAUUUCCCACUUUGAAUAAGUAAAACUAAAAUCUAAAUUUACCUUUUCCAAAUUGUUUUGUUUCUGAUGUAAAGUGGAGAGAGUAAGCAUUUUGUCGUCUUCAUGUAAAGAAGAGACUAAGAACCAACUGUAGUUGUUAUUAUUUUUGUGAUCCACUGACAGAGCCUAACUUGAAGAAUUUAGUUUUUCAUUUAAACGUUAAUACCUUGUUUUGUUGCAUAGCCCUGUGCUUUAAAAAAAAAAAAAAA